GAGAAUUUAACACUCAUAGGGUGCUGGUAUGUUGAAAAUAAUAAAGCUUUAUUUCAGGCUGCUACUAUCAUCAUCCUUGUGAAGUAUGAGACAGCUAUAGCAUCAAAAACCUUAUAAUACACUUCUUUGUAUUGGGUGGUCCAUUACUAUGUGAAGAACUGAAUCCCACUGAUUUUGAUCAGCUGCAGUAUGCAUGAAGUAUUGGACUAUUGAGUAUGAGCAACAUCAGCAGAAUCUGAUCAGCAUCUGAAAACACACUAUGGCUAAAGAAAUUCAGCUCAGUGCACUCCUCUUCCCAGGCAAAGCUUUUGGAGAGGAUUCUGGAUAACAUAGAUUAUUUUAUGGGGUUGUAUGAUGUUGGGCUUUCCCCUUCCUCGCGUUCAGAGGGCAGAAGGAAGUUCAGUGAAUGCUGAACAUUACCAGCACAACCAAAGGAGAGCUCCAGAGAUCACAGGGCUGUGGUGUGAGCCUACAAACAGAGAUGUGUGCAGCUUCUUCAGAGGUGUUCCCAGGGCACAGUGCCAAAAGGCCCCCUCAAAGUGCCUCCUGGGGGGUCCAUGACAUCUGCUUGACGAGAUAGCUGCAGCACACAAGUAUCUGAUAUUUUUACGUUAUACAACUAGCCUCUGAUCCAGACUGGACAACGAGUUACCGCCCAUGAGUACCGGUCCGAUGGCCUCAGCCAUCCCCAUUGCUGCGCAGUGUAGGGGUCCUAAAGGCAAUUUGGGAUCCCACUCGGUGUCAGUGUCGGAGUCAUUUCUAUCCAUAACAGCUCAUAACUCUUUGCUGGGGGGGGGGGGGCUAAAUUCACACAAAGAGCACAUCUAAGAGAAACCUCACAUUUUGUAUAUAUAGUAUCCAGAAUUAGACCUGUAUACUACUUAGAAUUGUUGCUAGAUUACCCUUCAUUUUUUCUGUCUGACAGCUUUUCGAGAGCUUACGCUUUUGAAUGAACUUAUAUCUGUGGUGACCAGGCUACGGAGAAGUAUAUGUAAACUAACAAAAUUUUUUAAACUCAUUUUUGCAGUCCCAUUUCUAUUCCUGUUUAAUUUGCAGAUGCUAUUUUUCUGUUUCUUUGUAUGGAAGUCCCAUGGAAACAGGAUAUUGUCCCUAUCUUCUUUAUGUGUGGACUUUCUUUACAUAAUAGCUUUUCCGCUGAGAAAUAUGGCAGUAUUAAAAUUGUCUUUCAGAUUGCCAUACGCACCAAUAACUGUGGAGUCCUUCAGUUUGAGGUACACUGGAAUUAAGUACUCAUCUUUUGAGGUACACUUGAAUUAAGUACUCAUCUUUUGACUCCAGUACUCAUAUAUAAAACUGGCUUUCUGUUUUUUUUUUUUUUUUUUUUUUUUAAUGGAAUAAGAUAAGCACAUUCUUCACUGUCACCUCUGAAGAUUUGUUCACUAGUGAUCAAUGACAAUAUGCAGAAGAAAUUUAGGAAUUUAGUCUGAUUACUUGACAAUGUACAAAUCUAUCAAUAACAGCCUCUGAUACAAUUUUCAGAGUCACAGUUUUCAUCAAAGAUGACAGAAUAUGCUAUUUAGACUAUCAAGAGAUAGUGUUUUAAGCCAUGAUGGUUUGUGUAGUCCCUGUAUAUAAGGUCACGAAGUGACUCACACACAUGCAAAUGUCAGCAGACAGUUACUUGACUUUCUGAGUACAUUUCUUGUUGCUGUUUCCUGCUGUAAAUCUUGACAGGACAAGCUGUCUUUCAAAGUGCUCUUGGAGUGGGUUCAUUAACUCAACAUUCAACACAAUAUACUUGGGCAAUUCAUUUCAUUUUUCUGCUGCUGUGGUGUGGGGAGCGAGAUGACUUCUAAUUGCUGCCUCGCUAUAGGAAGGGGAAAGAGGAAUGCAUAGUGCUACCUCCUAAUCGGUGAUUUAAAAUAAUGCUACAGGAAGGGUGUGAUGUGAAAGCUCAUUUUUCUAGGGGCUAAUUUGUUUUUAGCAUUGCUAUACUAAUGGAGUGAAAGUUCUACUAGAGGUCCACUGGUUUGUCUGUUCUCUACAUCCUUGUCUCUUGCUCUAGUCUUUAGCAUUUCAGAGUCUCUUAACGUUUCCCCUUUCUCUGUUUCCCUUUCCCAGCUACUCUGAUCACUGAACUCAGGCAUCUUUACCACACAGACCUCUGGAAUUGGAAACUCAAAUUUGUUCUGAAAGUUACUAAAUAAAACAGAGCAUCGCAGCAUCUGAUAACUCAGGAAUGCUUUUAAUACAUCUGCCUAUUUCUAGACAAACAGAAGUGCACCGAUAUUCAGAAGAGGAAAGAGUAGUACACUAUGUUUAGCAAGCCUGACAGAUUAGUUUUCAAUAUUUUUCAGCUGUCACAGGAACACUUCAGGAUUAAAAGACACAUCUUGCUACAUUCUUUAUCUUCCACACUUGAAAGGGAAGAGAAGUGGAAGACGUAACUAACUUUGUCAUGCUGAAAGAAACCUUAGCAAAUAGAGAAUUACAACCAUUAAAAUCAAUAUCUUUGGUCUUUCUGAAGCACAUUCUUCUCCAUAGUGCAUGCCUCACAUAGCCUUUAGUGCAUUCAGAGAGGAGCGUAAAAGUGGUCUCUCUCAGGUUGGAAGUACAAACAGCUAUAGCUCUCGAAAGAAUGUGAAGUCACAUACUUAACUCUCUCUUCACUGUAACACCCUUUCUGAGACCCAUGCAUACCAUAGGAAGUGAUACAAUAGCAAGGUGUUGAUGAUUUACUUAAAGACAAUUGUGGGAAAGGUUUGUUCAUCUUAUGUUCAGAUGAAGUCUCCAACUAUAACAGAUCUUUUUUGUGGGCCAUAUAGUAUAUAAAGGGUCAGACUUUAAGUUGAGACUUUAAGUUUGAAGUUAUGGACAAAGAUCAAAUACAAAAACAUAUUGCAUUUAAAGUGUAAGGCUUUAGACUGAGAGCUUAAAAUGUGAAGUCCUCAAAACUGGACAUAUUUCAUGGCUCUGCUACAGAUUUCUUGAGUGAAGUUAGCAAGUCAUUUAAAUCAUUAUGUGUUACAGUGUUUUGAUCGUGAAAUAAGGAAAAUGACAACUGUUCAUCAGGAAUGUUGUAAUGAUAAAUAAUUCAUCAAAGCAUUUGAAAUCUCUAGAUGAAAGUUGUUAUAUAAAUGCAUAGUAUUAUUAUUGUUGUAAUUAGGUAAUUUAUUUACUCUCAGGAGAUACUACAAUCACAGUUUAGAUAGCAUUUGAUUUCUUAAGUCUUUAUUUGCAAUCUUUAUCUUGAUUAUCUUGGACCACAAACUUACAUAUCUGCCUUAAACCAAAAGUUGAAGGAAAGCCAUUCAGCUGUUAUCAGAAUAUUUUAAAAAAAGGUUUUCCUUCAGCUGUUAGAGAAAUUGAGCAGGAGAAGUAUUUGGCAUUUGGCUUCUAAUAUGCAUGUGCAGUAAUCCCGAUCAUGAACUACUGCUUUGUUAAAAAUAGUUUAAGAUCCAAAUUCAGUUAUCUACUUCAUAGAGAAGAACUAUUUUCUUCUUUCAUAAGAGGAUGGAAAAUGUCAUAAUAACACAUGCACACAUUUGGGUAACUAAAAAACAUUGGCAGCUCCUAUAGGAAUAUGUAUUAAAAACUUCAGGUAACAGUGAAAUAUAUACAGCACAAAUAAGACGUGCUUCUUAUAUGCACUGGAUACCAACCUACAGCUCUUGUGAGAAUCAGCAGGUCUGAAUCUUUACUGUACAACUGCUUUUCACCACCUCAUCUGUAGGUGUUGUUCCCAUAGAGUUUUUCCUAGGGGGUGAGUGUGUCUGAGUCUAUGGAUGUAGCAUCUUGGCAUUACACUGCUUUUGCUCCAACUGUCUGUACGCAGAAGGGAAGCGUGUUUAGAGCAGGGCUGUGAUUUAGCAUCUUUAAACGACACUUUUGCAGGCAGUGACAACUUUACCUCAUUCAUAACUCAUUCAUAAGUUCUGAGUUUGUUCUAGGUUGUAUCAGGGACCGAGUAUUCCUCCACUCAGCCUCAGCAAUGUAGAACUGAAAAAGGAGCACAUUAUUAUUUUUGCUCCCAAGCCCUUGUCUUUUCUCCAGAGUAGCUUAGCUGGACCAGAGAGUCUUGCUUCAUAAACUAUCAUCUACAAAUGCAGUAAGGAUGAUAUUCUCUGUGGAUAGAAACAAUUAACCCUAUCUAAGUUAUGGAGGUAUCUCUAAGUUACAUUUGUAUUUAGCUGACAGAGCUGAUUCGUAGUUUUUCGCCAUUUAUAUCAAAAAAAUUAAGCCAGUAGAGACUGUGUUGAAAAAAUAUUCCUCACUCUUGUUGUUGAUCUUAUGUUUUCAACUUGUUUUUAUUGAUCGAAGACAUUCAGACUAAUUUUGGUAUAGGUGAAAUCAGAAUCUGAUCCCAGGUGAUUAUUUUUGCGUGAAAAAGUUACUACAGGGAAAUUUAGUAUAGUUACUGCCCAAGAACUGCAGAGUCUGACUGCUGUAAAUGUGAUGGGAUUCACAUACCAAUGGGUGGAAUUUUGGCAGUAAAUUCUCAAACCGAAUUUGGGUGCAAGUCUAAAUCUCAGGUGUAUAGGCAAGGACAAAUAUGCUCCUUCAGCUCAUUUGUUUAAAAGGCUGGAGAUUUUUAAGUUAUGGUAUUUUUACUAUGAAUGCUCUAUCUUUUUGCUUAUAUUCACAAGUUGUUUCCACAUGACAAGCUAUAACAAUGUUAAUUUGCUCACUAUCCUGUGGUCUUUUGUUCACACGUCCUACCUGUACUCUGGUGCUUUGGCAGGUUUUUACAGAGCUUGGACCUUUGCAGCUGAAGGUCCUUCUUAGCAGUCAGGUUGAGUACUGACAUCGAUGUACACAGCUUUUCAGCUACGAGAGAUCAAGAACUGUCUCUUAGUUUGUGGAGAUGGAAGAAAGAAAAACAGCUCUGGCUCUUCUUUCCUCUUUUAACACGGGGAAAAGAACCAGCUAGCGCAUGUUAAAGAAAAUAAUGCAGAGAGUUUGAUACAAAUAUCUAUGGCAUAUUUAUCUUUCAGCAGCCUGGAACCAGUGAAGUUAAAAGGUCACGUUCUCCAUCCCAGGGCUCAGCAGCAGGCUCAGCGUGCGCCUCCUCACUAGUCUUCAGGCCUCCUGUAAGAGCACCUGCCUGGAGAAAGCUAGAUAAUCCAUUUCUACUCAUAGAAAUGCUCAUAACCUUCAGUAUCCUAUUUAGACCUCUUACAGGUUCAGUUCAAGAUAAAGACACAGUUACCUAAGGCCACAGACUGCCUGGGAUGACAAAAACAUCCAUGUACUCCCUGCUUGUUUUGCCUGUGUUUCAGCACCUGAAAAAACUGCUGGCACUGGAGCAUAGGAGAUCGCCGCUCCAAAGGGGCAAAGAGCCAUGAGGAGCAGUGUGAGUCCCUGUUCUCUACCGGCAACAUCUGAGGCAGAAGUCCUGGUGCUCUGGAGCUCUUUCACUGGCUCUCUGCUGAAAUUCUGCUUUCUUCUUCUCUUUUUCCUUUUCUCUUUCCUGUACCACCAGUGAACUUUCUCUUAUGCUUUUCUAUCUUUCAGGCAGCAGGAUUUUAUUUUGCCUCUGGUGAUGAGAAGCUUUGAAAUGGCUUUGACUUCAUCCCAGGAGAACCAGGAAAAUGAAAAAAGCAUAUGGGAAUAAAGCACAUUCAACUAACUAAACGUUAAGUCAAACUUAAGAAAAAAAAAACCCCAAAGGCAUAAUAUUUGUUAACCAAUUUGGUUGUGCAUUUAUCUUACAGGAUUUUAACACUACUAGAUUUCAUAAAAGGCAGCCUUAGUACAUUUGCUCAUCGCAAUUAAAAAAUAAAUUGUAUAAUUUCAUCUUUUGAAUAGUGCAGCAAGUAAUUUUGUGUAUUAUAUAAUGCUCUAAUGUCAAUCAAAAUGACCACAAAUAGCUCUCUUUAAAGAAGACAUGUGCUUUAAUAAUAAAUUACUUGUUGGCAUUUCUUACAGCAGCUUUGGAGGUAUAUUUUAAGUAGUGUAAAGUUAUGUUCUGAUAUGUCUUCAAGACACUUUUUUUUUCUUGCCGAUGUUUUAUAUUACGGAAAUGAAAAAGAACUGACAGGUAUUGUGUAUGUAAUUAUAGUUAAUUUUUUAACAUCAAAAACUUCUCUGUGAUCUUAAAAGCUUUUAAUUUGUUCAUAGGCACAGGUUUGUACAAGCCCUGUGCAAUGUCUGUAUGCAGUUUUAACAGAUAGGUAUAGUGGUAACUCACUCUCCAUCCAAAAUAGUUUAAUUAGAUUUGAGAAGUGGGUUAAACUGUUAUAUAUCUUUGACAUUUGUAAACACCAUCGCAGAUGUUCAUACUUUGAACUGGUAAUGCAAGGUGCUAUGGCUUUCAUGUAAAAAAUGCUGCAUCCCCAAAUCCUGCUGAGAUUGAUGGGUUUUGAGGUGCUCAGCAUCUCUAAGGAAACACUUUGUUGAAUUGAGCUCAGACUAAAUGGAAUAAAUUUCUUUCUUAAAUUUUUUAAAUCAGUGGCAAAUCUCCCAUGCACUUUAGUGGACUUACGACUUCUGGGUCCUCAAUGCUCAAAUAUGAAGCUGAUAGUUCAAUGAUAGUAGAGAUCAAGAAAAUAAAAAAAACAUAAUUUUGUAGACCCUUUUUCCCAAAUACACAUUCUCCACUGCUCCAACAUGCACUGACGAUAUCAAAGAUACCCCUUUUCAGAAGAAGUUUUUGAUUAAAAAGACCUAAUCUCUGUUACUAAGAACAUAGUAUAUAUCAUCACAGCUGAAAUAAAUUGUGCUGUUUGCAUUUUGCCA